GUGAACUGCGAAUGGCUCAUUAAAUCAGUUAUAGUUUAUUUGAUGGUACCUUGCUACAUGGAUAACUGUGGUAAUUCUAGAGCUAAUACAUGCAAUCAAGCCCCGACUUCCGGAAGGGGUGUAUUUAUUAGAUAAAAAACCAACGCGGUUCGCCGCUCCAUUGGUGAUUCAUAAUAACUUCUCGAAUCGCAUGGCCUUGUGCUGGCGAUGCUUCAUUCAAAUAUCUGCCCUAUCAACUUUCGAUGGUAGGAUAGUGGCCUACCAUGGUUUCAACGGGUAACGGGGAAUAAGGGUUCGAUUCCGGAGAGGGAGCCUGAGAAACGGCUACCACAUCCAAGGAAGGCAGCAGGCGCGCAAAUUACCCAAUCCCGACACGGGGAGGUAGUGACAAUAAAUAACAAUAUAGGGCUCUUUCGGGUCCUAUAAUUGGAAUGAGUACAAUUUAAAUCCCUUAACGAGGAACAAUUGGAGGGCAAGUCUGGUGCCAGCAGCCGCGGUAAUUCCAGCUCCAAUAGCGUAUAUUAAAGUUGUUGCAGUUAAAAAGCUCGUAGUUGAACUUCAGGCCUGGCCGGGCGGUCUGCCUAACGGUACGUACUGUCUGGCUGGGCCUUACCUCUUGGUGAGCCGGCAUGCCCUUUACUGGGUGUGUCGGGGAACCAGGACUUUUACCUUGAGAAAAUUAGAGUGUUCAAAGCAGGCCUAUGCCCGAAUACAUUAGCAUGGAAUAAUAAAAUAGGACGUGCGGUUCUAUUUUGUUGGUUUCUAGAGUCGCCGUAAUGAUUAAUAGGGAUAGUUGGGGGCAUUAGUAUUCAGUUGCUAGAGGUGAAAUUCUUGGAUUUACUGAAGACUAACUACUGCGAAAGCAUUUGCCAAGGAUGUUUUCAUUAAUCAAGAACGAAGGUUAGGGGAUCGAAAACGAUCAGAUACCGUUGUAGUCUUAACAGUAAACUAUGCCGACUAGGGAUCGGGCGAACUCAAUUUUAUGUGUCGCUCGGCACCUUACGAGAAAUCAAAGUCUUUGGGUUCUGGGGGGGAGUAUGGUCGCAAGGCUGAAACUUAAAGGAAUUGACGGAAGGGCACCACCAGGAGUGGAGCCUGCGGCUUAAUUUGACUCAACACGGGGAAACUCACCAGGUCCAGACAUGACUAGGAUUGACAGAUUGAUAGCUCUUUCAUGA
rnacentral:rRNA from 1 species